rnacentral:rRNA from 1 species
CGUCUAUAUACGUAUAGCAUAUCAAUAAGCGGAGGAAAAGAAACUAACAAGGAUUCCCUUAGUAACGGCGAGUGAAGCGGGAAGAGCUCAAAUUUGAAAUCUUCAAGGUUCUACCUUGACGAAUUGUAGUUUAUAGAAGUGUUUUCUGUUAGUGGAGUGGCAAAAGUUCUUUGGAAUAGGACAUCAUAGAGGGUGAGAAUCCCGUAUUUGGUCAUUCCUCCUAGCGUUGUGAUACACUUUCAACGAGUCGGAUUGUUUGGGAAUGCAGUCCAGAAUGGGUGGUAAAUUUCAUCUAAAGCUAAAUAUUGGCGAGAGACCGAUAGCGAACAAGUACCGUGAGGGAAAGAUGAAAAGAACUUUGAAAAGAGAGUUAAACAGUACGUGAAAUUGUCAAAAGGGAAGCGUUUGACACCAGUGUUGUUUUUCCGAAAAUCAAUUACGAAUGUUUUAUUUUUGAGGAGUUAUGACUUCAUCGGCUUGCUCCUUUCUUUAUGAAACUUUCUUAAUGCACUUUUCGGUUAACAAGUCAACAUCAAUUUCUUUUGUUGUAAAAGGGUAUGAGGAAGGUGGCUUUCUUUUCGGAGAAAGUGUUUAUAGCCUUGUGCCUCUGCAAUCGGAGAGAUUGAGGUCUGCAGCGUAGAUCCUUCGGGGUUAGAUACAUUUGUGCUAAGUUAUAGCCUUUCAUAGACAACUUGUUGACUAUGUUUAGUCUUGUAGCUUACUCGCUUACGCUAUUUUACCUACGCUUAGGAUGUUGAUAUGCAUGACUGAUAU